GAUGAACGCUGGCGGCGUGCCUAAUACAUGCAAGUCGAGCGAACAGACGAGGAGCUUGCUUCUCUGACGUUAGCGGUGGACGGGUGAGUAACACGUGGAUAACCUACCUAUAAGACUGGGAUAACUUCGGGAAACCGGAGCUAAUACCGGAUAACAUGUUGAACCGCAUGGUUCAACAGUGGAAGACGGUCUUGCUGUCACUUAUAGAUGGAUCCGCGCCGCAUUAGCUAGUUGGUAAGGUAACGGCUUACCAAGGCAACGAUGCGUAGCCGACCUGGGAGGGUGGUCGGCGACACUGGGACUGAGACACGGUCCAGACUCCUACGGGAGGCAGCAGUAGGGAAUCUUCCGCAAUGGGCGAAAGCCUGACGGAGCAACGCCGCGUGAGUGAAGAAGGUCUUCGGAUCGUAAAACUCUGUUAUUAGGGAAGAACAAAUGUGUAAGUAACUAUGCACGUCUUGACGGUACCUAAUCAGAAAGCCACGGCUAACUACGUGCCAGCAGCCGCCGCCG
rnacentral:rRNA from 1 species